CCUACGGGAGGCAGCAGUGGGGAAUCUUGCGCAAUGGGCGAAAGCCUGACGCAGCAACGCCGCGUGCGGGAAGAAGGCUCUCGGGUUGUAAACCGCUUUCAGCAGGAACGAAAAUGACGGUACUUGCAGAAGAAGGUGCGGCCAACUACGUGCCAGCAGUCGCGGUGACACGUAGGCACCAAGCGUUGUCCGGAUUUAUUGGGCGUAAAGAGCUCGUAGGCGGUUCGGUAAGUCAGGUGUGAAAACUUUGGGCUCAACCCAAAGCCUGCAUCUGAUACUGCUGUGACUAGAGUUCGGUAGGGGAGCGGGGAAUUCCUAGUGUAGCGGUGAAAUGCGCAGAUAUUAGGAGGAACACCGGUGGCGAAGGCGCCGCUCUGGGCCGAAACUGACGCUGAGGGGCGAAAGCGUGGGUAGCAAACAGGAUUAGAUACCCUGGUAGUCCACGCCGUAAACGUUGGGCACUAGGUGUGGGUUUACACCAACGAAAUCCGCGCCGUCGCUAACGCAUUAAGUGCCCGCCUGGGGAGUACGCGCAGUAACGUACGAAGAGUAGAGNGNGAGAAGUGCGAGCGACGACGAGGAGNGG
rnacentral:rRNA from 1 species